CCUACGGGGGGCAGCAGUGAGGAAUAGUUGUCAAUGGACGAGAGUCUGAACCAGCCAAGUAGCGUGAAGGAUGACUGCCCUAUGGGUUGUAAACUUCUGUUAUAUGGGAAUAAAAUGUUCCACGUGUGGGAUUUUGUAUGUACCAUAUGAAUAAGGAUAGGCUAACUCCGUGCCAGCAGCCGCGGUAAUACGGAGGAUCCGAGCGUUAUCCGGAUUUAGUGGGUUUAAAGGGAGCGUAGGUGGAUUGUUAAGUCAGUUGUGAAAGUUUGCGGCUCAACCGUAAAAUUGCCGUUGAAACUGGCAGUCUUCCGUACAGUAGCGGUGGGCGGUCUUCGUGUUGUAGCGGU
rnacentral:rRNA from 1 species